UUAUUUAUGAGCAGAACUGACUACAUGGUGGUGAGAUUUCUAACUACACACACAGUUCAUUUUAAGGUUGACACCCUAGUGGUCCUGCCCUAUAGUUUCACAUUUUAACUAAUCUGUAUAUAUUGUUCAGUAGUGCUUAGUAACUUUCAUGUGUGUGAACCUGCAUUAACGUAUACAACAUGAAAAGUGAAGCCUUCUUCAUUGUUUCCAGGUAUUUUUUCCACACUUCACAAGGAUGGGGACAUCACUCAGAAGAGUGAAGUUUCGAGAAGCCCUGGAUAACAACUACAAUAACAUUCUGAAGUUCGUCCAAGGAGUCAACUAUCAUCAACGGGGUGCUUCUUGGGCAUUAAUUCGGAGACAGACAGGCAGAAAGGACAGAAACAACAAGCUGCAAGUCUGUACACUGAUUAGAAAACUUAUGACUUGAAUGGAUGUCAGUCUAGUGUGUCACAAAUACUAGUUCUUUGUUUAGCUAGAGGCGAUUGUACACUUUGUACUCUUACAAUGUUCUAUAUCAGGAGUCUCCAACGUGGUGCCCAUGGGCAGCAGGUAGCCCGCACAGAGUCUGUGAGGUGCCCACCAAAUCACAUUCUAUUAAUAGUCUCAAUUGUAAUAUUUGUUGAUUACAUAUUUUUUAUAUUGACUUGGCUUGGUUUACAUAUAUUACAAUUUUAAACAAUACAAAAACAUAUCAAAAAGUACAAUGAAAUAAAAUCAACAAGUAAAACAAAAAAGUUUUGAGUAGACUAUAUCAAAAGUUAGCCCUCCAGAAUGUUUUAUCCAUUGUGGUAGCCCUUGAUCACAAAAAGGUUGGAGACCCCUGUUCUAUAUUGUGUCUGUUACAUAAAGAUACAUGAAGAAAUAAGUGAAUGUCAGUCUACAUUGUAAAAAUAAAAUAUUUGUUGCACUUAUUUUUUAAGUUUAAUUAACUCUAAAUUACAAUUUAUUUCAACUUUCUUGACUAGUGAGGACUUGCUAUUAAUUAUAAAAAAUAAAGUUGAAAUAACUUAAGCUAACUACUUUAAUUUUAUAAUUUAUAGCAACUCUUCAUUAGUCAAAAAAAAGUUAAAUGAAUUAUAAAUUCAAGUUGAUUAAAUUGAAAAAUGUAAGUUCCGUUUUUUACAAUGUAGAGCGGGGUGGGCAUUCCUGGUCUUUGAGGGCCACUGUCCUGCAAAGUUUAGCUCCAACCCUAAUCAAACACACCUCAAUGUCAUUUCCAAGUCAUACUGAAGCCUUUGAUUGAGAUUUUCAGGUGUGUUUGAUUAGGGUUGGAGCUAAACUUUGCAGGACAGUGGCCUUCAAGGACCUGGAAUGACCACCCCUGCUGUAGAGUGUAAGCAGUGUUCCAAUGCACGAAAGGAAAUAUUAUUCUGUGUAGUUAUUAUUCUGAUGUUAUUUAUACUAUCUGAGAUAGUCAAUGAAUAAUAUGUAAUAAUAAUAUGUAAUAAUAUGUUAUGUACAAAAUAAAAGUAUGAAAUCGA